rnacentral:misc_RNA from 1 species
GUGAAUCAUCGAAUCUUUGAACGCACCUUGCGCCCUCUGGUAUUCCGGAGGGCAUGCCUGUUUGAGUGUCUUGAUAUCAUCAAUCCCAUUGGGUUCGCGCCCACUGCGGGUUGGAGUUGGGGGCCUUGCUGCCGAGAGGCGGCACCCCUUAAAAUCAUCGGUUUGGCCCGCAUCACGCGGCUUGCACCUUUGGCGUUGUAUUCUCCUCGCCUUUGAUCGGUCUUGCUCGCUUCCGCGCCUCACCUCGACUUGCCCUUUGGGUGGCGGUCACUUCUUGACAAUCUGGCCUCAAAUCAGGUAGGACUACCCGCUGAACUUAAGCAUAUCAAUAAGCGGAGGA